UGUGGGAGCUGGCUUGCCUGCGAUGGCGGUGUGUCAGCUGGGGAUUUUUUACUGAUGCACCGUCAUCGCAGGCAAGCCAGCUCCCACA
rnacentral:ncRNA from 2 species